GGACUGUUUUUGAUACUAAUAUUCAAACGAGUUCAAAGAAGAAGAAAAAUGCCAAGCCUUUAAGUUUUAAGGUUGGAAUAGGCAAAGUUAUCAGAGGAGUAAGUAAAAAAUGGCAAUGAAUCAGAUAUUCUGGCACAUGCUACAUGUGGUAUGGCACCAUAAUUAGGAUUGGGGAUAUGACGAAAACAGUCUUUGGAGUCUGACAAAUCAGGUGCUAUCAUUGCUAACUGAUCUGGCACAAGUUUUCUGGGUCUUGCUUAUGGAUGGUACAAUCUUCCUCAAGGUUGCUAAACAAUUAAAUAUGCAUAACUACAGUG